rnacentral:rRNA from 1 species
UACGAAGGGGGCUAGCGUUGUUCGGAAUUACUGGGCGUAAAGCGCACGUAGGCGGACUAUUAAGUCAGGGGUGAAAUCCUGGAGCUCAACUCCAGAACUGCCUUUGAUACUGGCGAUCUCGAGUCCGGGAGAGGUGAGUGGAACUGCGAGUGUAGAGGUGAAAUUCGUAGAUAUUCGCAAGAACACCAGUGGCGAAGGCGGCUCACUGGCCCGGUACUGACGCUGAGGUGCGAAAGCGUGGGGAGCAAACAGG